AUUGAACGCUGGCGGCAGGCCUAACACAUGCAAGUCGAACGAGUGGCGGACGGGUGAGUAAUGUAUGGGAAACUGCCCGAUGGAGGGGGAUAACUACUGGAAACGGUAGCUAAUACCGCAUACCAUCGGAUGUGCCCAGAUGGGAUUAGCUAGUAGGUGGGGUAACGGCUCACCAAGGCGACGAUCCAUAGCUGGGCUGAGAGGAUGACCAGCCACACUGGAACUGCUACACGGUCCAGACUCCUACGGUAGGCAGCAGUGGGGAAUGUUGGACAAUGGGCGCAAUCCUGAUGCAGCCAUACCGCGUGUAUGAAGAAGGCCUUCGGGUUGUAAAGUACGUUCAGCGAAGAGGCGUUACUCGCAGAAGAAGCACCGGCUAACUCCGUGCCAGCAGCCGCGGUAAUAC
rnacentral:rRNA from 1 species